rfam:Pristionchus pacificus strain PS312 contig1335, whole genome shotgun sequence.
UCUUCAUUUCCCACGCUCUCUCACCGGUCAGAGAGGCGAGAGAGUGUGCGACAUGAAGAGA